rnacentral:misc_RNA from 1 species
AAGCAACGCUUGGUAUUGGGCGUCCGGCCCCGCCACCGCGGCGGCCGCGCCCCAAACCCUUCGGCGAAGUCUCACCGGCUUUGGGCGUAGUAGAAUUCUUUCAAGAACGUCCACGGAGCCCGGCGGGCCUUUUGCCGUCAAACCACCAAACUUUUUUACAGGUUGACCUCGGAUCAGGUAGGGAUACCCGCUGAACUUAA